rnacentral:rRNA from 1 species
GUCUAUGGCCAUGCCACCAUGAACAUGCCCGAUCUCGUCUGAUCUCGGAAGCUAAGCAGGGUUGGGCCUGGUUAGUAUUUGGAUGGGAGACCAUCUAGGAAGACCAGGUGCUGUAGGCU